CUUCCCAAGGAUGACCCAGAGUCCUCCAACCCCCACAUGGAGGUCGACUUCGGUGAGCAGCUAAAGUGCACUCGUCCCAACGACCUCAACCCAUAGUGGUACCAGCAUCUCAAGUUCGUCAUCCCCGACCCCACCACCUUGGGGGCUGGGGGCGCUUGACGUCGAAGUCUGCAACAACGAACGCCUCAGCAGCACCCCAGCCAGCGCCC
rnacentral:lncRNA from 1 species